rnacentral:sRNA from 1 species
UGUCCCCCGGAGGCGUCUGGGUGUGCGGAGCGCGCGCGCGCGCGGCUCGGAGGCGCACCUGUGAGGUGUCCCUGAGGAGAGGGAGGGCGCCCUGCGUCCGGCAGAGGAGGCGAGCAUCCCCGCUCAGGUGAUGAGGAACCCCUCGCGCACCCAGCGCAGAAGGCUGCUGCCGCCGGACGCCUCCAUUGUUUGACCACAACAAGGGCCGGAUUCUCACCCAGGUAAACUGGCUGCCGGCGCUGUCCACCUCCCUCUGACUCCCGCCUCCGCAGGCGUUCUCACCCCUUCCAGGACUCGACUGCAGUUUUCUCACUGUCCCCGGCUUCUCAUGAACUCCGUAUACCCCCCUCCCAGACAUUUUCCCGUCCGGAUCCAUCUCUCCGCCACAUCACCUCUCAUUUCCCCCAGAACUCAGCUCCUUUGUGAAACCUUUCUUGCCGAACUCUAACAACUAAAUCUCCCCGGGAGCCUGCUCCGAACUGAACUGUUCUGGUUGCUAGAUUGCUUACGGGCUGUCUUAUUGCAACAAAGGAGACCAGAUACCGAAAAAAGAUUUCUGAGCUAUUGCCUUCUUCAAGGAACGUUUUCUGAUAUUUACAGUUUAUUGUUUUCACAAGAUGGAACGGUUUUUAGGCAUUUUGGCUUCUUAUUUAGAGAGGGCUCCUAUUUCCUUCAUAGACGCAUAGUUUUUUAGAGCAGGAAAUCGACCUUGUUCAACCCGCAGGUUAAUUAAAAAUUUAAAAAUUAAUUCUAAA